rnacentral:rRNA from 1 species
AUUGAACGCUGGCGGCAGGCCUAACACAUGCAAGUCGAACGGUAACAGGAAGCAGCUUGCUGCUUUGCUGACGAGUGGCGGACGGGUGAGUAAUGUCUGGGAAACUGCCUGAUGGAGGGGGAUAACUACUGGAAACGGUAGCUAAUACCGCAUAACGUCGCAAGACCAAAGAGGGGGACCUUCGGGCCUCUUGCCAUCGGAUGUGCCCAGAUGGGAUUAGCUAGUAGGUGGGGUAACGGCUCACCUAGGCGACGAUCCCUAGCUGGUCUGAGAGGAUGACCAGCCACACUGGAACUGAGACACGGUCCAGACUCCUACGGGAGGCAGCAGUGGGGAAUAUUGCACAAAGGGCGCAAGCCUGAUGCAGCCAUGCCGCGUGUAUGAAGAAGGCCUUCGGGUUGUAAAGUACUUUCAGCGGGGAGGAAGGGAGUAAAGUUAAUACCGUUGCUCAUUGACGUUACCCGCAGAAGAAGCACCGGCUAACUCCGUG